UAACAAGGAUUCCCCUAGUAACUGCGAGUGAAGCGGGAAGAGCUCAAAUUUUAAAUCUGGCGGUCCCUGGCCGUCCGAGUUGUAAUCUGGAGAGGUGUUUUCCGCGUCGGACCGUGUACAAGUCUCCUGGAAUGGAGCGUCAUAGAGGGUGAGAAUCCCGUCCAUGACACGGACCGCCGAUGCUUUGUGAUACGCCUUCGAAGAGUCGAGUUGUUUGGGAAUGCAGCUCAAAAUGGGUGGUAAAUUCCAUCUAAAGCUAAAUAUUGGCGAGAGACCGAUAGCGAACAAGUACCGUGAGGGAAAGAUGAAAAGCACUUUGGAAAGAGAGUUAAACAGUACGUGAAAUUGUUGAAAGGGAAACGCUUGAAGUCAGUCGCGUCCCGUAGAACUCAGCCUGGCCUCGGCCUGGUGUACUUUCUAUGCGGACGGGUCAACAUCAAUUUUGGCCGGCGGAGAAAGGUGAAGGGAAUGUAGCGUUGCUUCGGCGACGUGUUAUAGCCCUUUGCUGCAUACGUCGGCUGGGAUUGAGGACCGCAGCACGCCCUUGUGGCCGGGGGUUCGCCCCACGUAUCGUGCUUAGGAUGUUGGCAUAAUGGCUUUAAGCGACCCGUCUUGAAACACGGACCAAGGAGUCUAACAUGCCUGCGAGUGUUCGGGUGGAAAACCCUUGCGCGUAAUGAAAGUGAAAGUUGGGAACCUCCGCAAGGGGGUGCACCGACGCCCGGCCCUGAAGUUCUCUGACGGUGCUGCGGUAGAGCAUGUAUGUUGGGACCCGAAAGAUGGUGAACUAUGCCUGAAUAGGGCGAAGCCAGAGGAAACUCUGGUGGAGGCUCGUAGCGAUUCUGACGUGCAAAUCGAUCGUCAAAUUUGGG
rnacentral:rRNA from 1 species